AGCUCCGCUCGUCAUCGUCCUGCCGGUCGAAAAAAAUGGAGGAAAAGAUUAUUGUCGCUGUCUGUGGGCACCCCGAACUUUACGAUACAACUCUUUAUGCUUACCGAAACCGGAGCUAUAAAGAUAAAGCGUGGAACAAGGUCGGAGAAGCCGUGGGACUACCUGGUACGUUUUGAAUGUUUGUGUGUGUGUGUGUGUGUGUGUGUGUGUGUGUGUGUGUGUGAGCACCCUGCCAGCCUGAAGAUCAGUUUGGGCUGUGACACCCUGUCAGUGUCGAGGGCUGAGGCGUUCUGAUCUGCUUGGGAAAGCUGCUACACUUAGAAAUGGUAUUCAACCGGAACGGUCACAUUGUCUCACGCGACCAGCUCACUUCAGCCGCAUGUACUCAUCCCUCAUCUUUCCAAAAGAAAACGGCUCUGAAUGAGCGUUGUUAUUGACGGGUGUUAGGGCCGUCGGAGUUAGUUAUGUAAAGGAGGACAUGAUGACAGUGGAUGAGGCCGCACGUGUGUCUGUGUGUGUGUCUGUGUGCGUGUGUGUGGAUGGUAGCUUGGACAGUGCGCGACCCAGCGGGAACGUUGGCGCUCCGGCUGGGUAGGUAAUGAUAUCAGAUGCCACACUCCACAACAACAGGUGCCUUGGCACCGCCACCUUCUACCUCCACGCUGCGUCAAUGACAUCAACGCCGACCCACUGGAUAAUUAUAGAUCAGCAGUCCCCUGCUCUUCCCUGUUCGGCCAUGAGAGGAUCAUGGAGCUAUUGGGGAGAUGUUGUGUUGGAGCCCCUCGACAGGUUGGGUAAAGAACAUGACACCACAAGUUUUUUUUCUUUUUCACCGUGAGUUUUUUUUGUCGAAGUGUCCCCCGGCGGUCGAAAUGUCAUCUCAGUAUCACGAGACACAUUUCCAAGCAUCCUAUUCUGUAAUGCAGCGCUACUCGUGUUGUAACCGGUGAGACGUGAGCUACAUGGAUGCCACUUGACUAUCACAGGUCAACAGACCAUUUGAAUGCUAAAAGAAACGUGUGAUGGAUGAUAUUCUCAUCACACCUUUUUUGGGGGCUUUAAUAUGAUCCAAGAUAUAGAAAAUGAUCACUUUGCAAAGGAAAUACCAUUCCUUUUUGUUCCUUCUGGUUUUCUGGUCUGUUAUUUUAGCUUAUCAGUUUAAUAUCCAUUUCAAAAAUCCCAGACUGAGACUUAAAUGCAGUGAAAAUAACAAAGUGUCAAACUCAUCUCCAUGCCUCCUCACGGCCUGUCUAUUCACACAAAAACAUUUGAGUUGCAGGAAAUGUGCAUAGUAUGUCUACAGGUUCAUGUCAGCUAAUAAACUGUUUUCAUUCACUGCUGUA